UGUGUUUUAAGCCGGGUGUUACCCGGCUUACUCACCGCCUUAUUUUAAAACCCGAGGAGAGCGGAGGAGCCCCGUGACUCACCCCACCGCCCCGCUCCUCCCUGCUGGCCCCAGCUCCGAGUUCAGCCCCCAGGGAGAUGAUGCGAGACCAGAUUCAGGGCACAGAAGUUUCCAAGGCUGGCACUGCCCUGGGGUCAGCUCUCCAUUGUCUCACGCCACUGCACAGCCAAAGCAAAGACCAUGGAGGGGACAACUUCAUAAGGCACAGCAGCCCCCGACGUGUCCAGCACAGGACACUUGGAGCAUCCACGAGCUGCCCAUAACCCCCAAAUUCAUCUUCUGUACGUGUAAGGCCAGCCUGCCCCGGAGCACCCAGCAACGUGGGACCUGAGAGCAACGUGUGAAAUUGGGAAGCGAAAAUCAGAGCAUCACCUCUGGGCAAGCCCAGGAGUCACGGGUGGUGCUCAAAAUGAUCUCCAGAUGCACUGAGAUACGAGAACACCCUCAGCAACAACACCCACGAGGGCAGCGGCCGUGUCCCGUGGCCAGGGCUGGGAUCUAUCCCCUCGGGCACGUUGCGAUUCCUCAUCCCGGGUAAGGACAACACCUCAGCUCAGGUGGGCAGGGGACAUGAGGCAGGGACGGAGGAAGGAAGGAAGUCAUUAAGGACAGGACAGGAGGUGUCCCGUCAUCAUCGCUGCUGCUGCUGGGCGGAGGUUGCCCUAUAACCAUGAGCAUGGGGCACGUUGUGUGCUCGUGAGCUGUCCCACAGCCCCGGGGCAGGCAAAGCCCUCCGGUGCUGCUUCGUUUUGUGGUCAGUUCCCAUUUCUUGAAACCUUUGGGAUGGCAGAGCCAGAGCUGUCUGAGUGCCUGCCUGACCCCACAGCAGGAGGGGCCACCUUUGGCCAGACAAGGAGGAAUUCCCAACGCGUGGCUGCAGCCUGCCACGGAGGAGAAACCUGCCCUGAAAAACACUGGGGGACUCCAGGGUGUCCACACGGAGGAAGGAUUGAACCUGGUGGCCAAACAGCAAUAGGAACUCGCCCACGAAAAGGUGCUCGGUCAUUUCAUGACACCCCGGGGUUUGCAUCACCCGGGUCGGGCCGGUUGUGGCCUGACUAAGAUCUCGUGGGAGACAAACAACCGGCCUAAUUGCUCCGGGGACAAAUUCCUUCUGACACACACACACACACACACACACACACGUCUGAUAACAUCAAUUACCUGGCAAACAGACUGAUUCAAGGGCUGUGGGUGUUUCCAGAGGUGAUAAACAUGACGGGAGGAGGCUGGAAACACGCUGGCAAAGGCAAGGAGCUGUAAGGCUCUGCAUCUGUCAGGGGCACACACUCAGGGGAAACGGAGAUGCCAGGGUGUCAUUCACGUGUCCCUGCAAGCUUCCAGCAUCAUAAAAGAAACCUCAGACCUCUAUUUAAAAAAAUUAAAAGGAAAAGAAGAAAUCAAAGCUAGGCUGUGCUAGCUAGGAUGUCAAAAUCUCCUGCGUUAGCAGGGAAUAUGUUGAAUAAAAACCAUUUCGGAGUGCUUGGAGCCCUCUCCUCCAUGAGCCCCUUCCAAACCUCUUCAGCCCCAUCCCAGUCUCCGUCCUUACCCCACCCCAUCACUGCAGGUGAGUCCUGUGUGCCUUGGGGUGCAGUAAAAGGG